UCCGCAGGGGAGGGCUGCGCAUCUGGAGGAGCACCAGGGUUUAAAGACAUGGUCAACCUAGAGCUGGGCUACAUAGAACUGCUCUGCACAGAUCAGGUCUACAUAGAACCGCUCUACACAGAUCAGGUCUAAAUAGAGCCGGUUUGCAUAGAGCCGGUCUACAUAGAGUCAGUGAUACAAAUAUAAAUAUAAUAUAAGAUCGUCAACACAGAGCUGGCCUAUAUAGAACAGGAAUCAGUAGAUCAGCACCAUUUUGGUUCACAAACAUUGUAGAUCUAUUGUUUUAGAUGGAGCUCAACCAAGCGGUGGUGGGGUGUGUGUGUUUGUGUGCAUGUGCAAGCCCAUUUCUGUGCGUACAUAUGUAUGGCGUGUAGGAGUCAAUGUCUGCAUGAGUGUGUCUUACUCUCAAAGUCCAGGAAGAAGUUUCCACCAUUGUUGUCGAUGUCUCGGCUCAGCACCUUAAUCAGGUUCCCCAUGCUGCACACACACACACACACACACACACACACACACACACACACACACACACACACACACACACACACACACACACACACACACACACACACACACACACACACACACACACACACACACACACACACACACACACACACACA